AUUGAACGCUGGCGGCAGGCUUAACACAUGCAAGUCGAGCGGGGUGAUGGUGCUUGCACUAUCACUUAGCGGCGGACGGGUGAGUAAUGCUUAGGAAUCUGCCUAUUAGUGGGGGACAACAUCUCGAAAGGGAUGCUAAUACCGCAUACGUCCUACGGGAGAAAGCAGGGGAUCCCUUGUGACCUUGCGCUAAUAGAUGAGCCUAAGGCGGAUUAGCUAGUUGGUGGGGUAAAGGCCUACCAAGGCGACGAUCUGUAGCGGGUCUGAGAGGAUGAUCCGCCACACUGGGACUGAGACACGGCCCAGACUCCUACGGGAGGCAGCAGUGGGGAAUAUUGGACAAUGGGGGGAACCCUGAUCCAGCCAUGCCGCGUGUGUGAAGAAGGCCUUAUGGUUGUAAAGCACUUUAAGCGAGGAGGAGGCUCUUUUGGUUAAUACCCAAGAUGAGUGGACGAUACUCGCAGAAUAAGCACCGGCUAACUCUGUGCCAGCCGCCGCCGUAA
rnacentral:rRNA from 1 species